rnacentral:rRNA from 1 species
AGUGAACGCUGGCGGUAGGCCUAACACAUGCAAGUCGAACGGCAGCACAGCAGUAGCAAUACUGUGGGUGGCGAGUGGCGGACGGGUGAGGAAUACAUCGGAAUCUACCCUGUCGUGGGGGAUAACGUAGGGAAACUUACGCUAAUACCGCAUACGACCUUCGGGUGAAAGUAGGGGAUCGCAAGACCUUACGCGAUUGGAUGAGCCGAUGUCGGAUUAGCUAGUUGGCGGGGUAAAGGCCCACCAAGGCGACGAUCCGUAGCUGGUCUGAGAGGAUGAUCAGCCACACUGGAACUGAGACACGGUCCAGACUCCUACGGGAGGCAGCAGUGGGGAAUAUUGGACAAUGGGCGCAAGCCUGAUCCAGCCAUACCGCGUGGGUGAAGAAGGCCUUCGGGUUGUAAAGCCCUUUUGUUGGGAAAGAAAUCCUGUCGGUUAAUACCCGGUAGGGAUGACGGUACCCAAAGAAUAAGCACCGGCUAACUUCGUGCCAGCAGCCGCCGUAAUAC